AUAGUAAAAUUUCAGACGUUGCCGAAUCGAAAAAAACUCGAAAACUGUCAGUCUUUCUUUUCUUUUCAGAAGUAAUCAUUUCUUUUGAUAAGACCUGCAUAUAUUCAAUAUGCCUAAAGCAUUGUCGAAAUAGUCCCAACAAAUACUAAAAGAUAUUCACGUUAAGAAGAGAAUGACGUCACAAGAUGACAAGUUACGGCGUUGCCGACAUGUGUACUAUUUCGAACUUUCAAAUUUUUUUUUGCGCUGUUGAUUUGUUUUAUUGCUAUUAAUUUUACUUACUAUUAAUUUACUUAGUUGAAAUACAACUUUGUUGAACGAAGCAGCACCUUUGA